rnacentral:rRNA from 1 species
UAUAAUUUCCUUCCAGAUGGGGAUAGGUUCUAUACAUUUGGCUUAGUUGCACUCUGUUGGGCUAUGUGGAAUUGUCGUAAUAGAUCCACCUUUGAGUUCAGGAAGUUGAGAUUUCCAUUUGAUGUAAUACACGUUUCUUGUGGUUAUAUUACAUAUUGGGCAGGUCUGAUGAUGGGAGAAGACCGUGAAGCAAUGGAGCGGGGAGCUAAGAUGCUGAGAAUCAAUGCUUCGAACAUGAUGCGUAUCUGCACUGCUCCGAGAGGGACUGAAGGAUACCUGGAUAAGGGGGUAUCCGGACAGCCAGACUAUAUACUUUGGCCGGACUGUUGGACUAUGAAGAUACAAGAUUGA